UACGAAGGGGGCUAGCGUUGUUCGGAAUUACUGGGCGUAAAGCGCGCGCAGGCGGUUCGAUAAGUUGGGGGUGAAAUCCCCGGGCUCAACCCGGGAAUGGCCUUCAAGACUGUCGAUCUAGAGGACGAGAGAGGUGAGUGGAAUUCCCGGUGUAGCAGUGAAAUGCGUAGAGAUCGGGAGGAACAUCCAUGGCGAAGGCAGCUACCUGGACCAACACUGACACUGGGGCACGAAAGCGUGGGGAGCAAACAGG
rnacentral:rRNA from 1 species